GAAGAACAUUUUUUUUCAAAAAGUAUUAAAGAUUUUCAAAUUAAAGAAAAAUAUGCAUCAUGUUUUUGAUAAUAUUUUUGUGUAUCUUUUUACGUAACAUGGUUUGAUCAAUUUUUACAAUGUUCCCCAUCUAAAUUGGCAGGAAAAAAGUUUAUAAAAAGUAUACAGUUUUAUAGCAAGUUAACAAAUCUACUUUUAACGAAGCUUAAAAUAAAAAGUUUGCAAAAUAGUGUAUGUAUAGAUUUAUGUUCUGUUGUUGUUCAUUUACUAUAAACAAGUAUAUGAAUUUGGAAAUGGAAAUUUAGUUCAAAUGGAAAUUUAGUUCAACGCCAAUAGCAAUUGUGAUAAAGUAAUUUAAGAUCAUUUAAGGUUCAGUCAAGCAAGCACCUGAAAAUGGUCAACUUUUUGUUUAAUAUAGAUUGCUGUUCCAAAUACAAAUUGCAGAUAUGAUCCAAUAUUUUAUGUCAAGCAAGGUUCAAAUUUUAAACCAAACAAACUUACUAUCUGUUGAUCUUCUACUUUGUUUUGAAGUUAUGAGUUCAGAUAGAUAUAUGUUUUGUUCAAAGCAGAUCAGCCAACCAUAUAAAGGACAGAUAAAACUGACCCUCAUCUCAGGCUUAAGGGUCAAUUAAUGCAAUUUUUCAAAAGCUUCUUUUGAAGUAUGCAACCCUGAUGUCUUGAUGGGCACAAUCACAUGGAAGUAAUGUAAUAUUAAAUUAAAUAUUAAAGCAUAAAAUUUGCA